AGAAAAGGCCCAGUGGCCCGCGGAGGGACAGAGCUUCCAAUCACUCCUGCAAGGUAGGCGGGCCUGCGACCCACCGGCAGAAGAGGAGCAGCGGCCUGCUGAGAGGCAGAGCGGCCCCCUCCCCCCGCGCCGGCAAGGUAGACGGAACUGUGACCACCAACAGAACAGGCCAGACCUGCAACCGACAGACAGAACAGGCCCAGUGGCCUGAGGAAGGGUAGAGCCGCCCCCCCCCGCGCCUGCAAGGUAGGCGGACCUGCGACCCACUGGCAGAACAGCCCCAGAGGCCUGCAGAGGGGCAGUGCUGCUGCCUGCGCCUGCAAAGUAGGCAGAACUGUGACCACCUACAGAACAAGCCUAGCGGCCCGCAGAGGGACAGAGCCGCCGCCCGCGCCUGCAAGGUAGGCGGACCUGCUACCGACCGGCAGAGCAGGCCCAGCGGCCUGCCGGCGUGGUAGGCACAUUGCCCCAAUUGGAGGAGGGGCAGAGCCGCCGCCCGCGCCUGCGAGGGAGACUUUGCAACUAUACAAGACCAAUAUAAAUAUAUAGGGGGAAAAUUCAAUAGCACAACAGUUUCACCAAGUAGAAAGGAACGCGAACAGUAUGAAGAGACAAGGAAAGAAAGGACCACAAGCAAUGCAGGUCAACUCAACGUUAGAAGAGGUAAUAGCUGCAGCAGAUGGAAUGUCAGAUAAAGAAUUCAGGAUAUACAUGCUUCAGAUGAUCUGGAGUCUCAAGGAAGACAUCAGACAGCAAAAUCAGACAAUGAAAGAUCACUUCAACAAUGAAUUACAUAAACAAAUCCAAGAAGCAAAAGAUCAACUAUACAGGGAGAUAGAGGUUAUAAAAAACAAACAAACAGAAAUCCUAGAAAUGCAGGAAGCAAUAAACCAACUUAAAAACUCAAUUGAGAAUACUACCAGCAGAGUAGAACACUUAGAAGAUAGAACAUCAGACAAUGAAGAUAAAGUAUUUCAACUUGAAAAGAACAUAGACAGCUCAGCAAGACUGUUAAGAAACCAUGAGCAGAACAUCCAAGAAAUAUGGGAUAACAUUAAGAGACCAAACUUAAGAGUCAUUGGGAUACAGGAAGGUACAGAACUCCAAACCAAAGGAAUGAGCAAUCUAUUCAAUGAAAUAAUACGAGAAAACUUCCCAGACUUGAAGAAUGAGACAGAAUCCCAAAUCCUAGAAGCCUACAGGACGCCGAAUGUGCAAAAUCAUAAGAGACCCACACCUAGACACAUUAUAAUGAAGAUGCCCAACAUACAGAAUAAGGAGAGAAUUUUAAAAGCUACAAGAGAAAGGAAGCAGAUCACAUUUAGGGGUAAGCCAAUCAGGAUAACAGCUGAUCUUUCAACACAGACUCUGAAAGCUAGAAGAUCCUGGAAUAACAUAUUUCAAACACUGAAAGAAAAUGGGUUCCAACCAAGAAUUGUGUAUCCAGCGAAAUUAAGCUUCAGGAUGGAAGAUGAAAUUAAAACCUUCCACGAUAAACAAAAGUUAAAAGAAUUUGCAGCUAGAAAACCAUCUCUUCAAAACAUCCUCGGCAAAACAUUACAGGAAGAGGAAAUGGAAAAUAACAAUGAAAACCAACAGUGGGAGGUAGGACAGUAAAGGGGGGGGGAAAUAAUCAAAGAGGAAAACAAACCAUGUUUAGUAACAUAAAUAAACAAAUAUGGCUGGAAGAACAACCCAUAUCUCAAUAAUAACCCUAAAUGUUAAUGGCUUAAACUCACCAAUUAAGAGACACAGGCUAGUAGAAUGGAUCACAAAACAAGACCCAACAAUAUGCUGCCUACAGGAGACACAUUUGAUAGGAAAAGACAUACAUAGGCUGAAGGUGAAAGGUUGGGAAAAAUCAUAUCACUCAUAUGGACUUCGGAAACAAGCAGGAGUGUCCAUACUCAUAUCAAAUAAAAUAGAUUUCAAGCCAAAGUUAAUCAAAAGGGAUAAAGAGGGACACUACAUACUGCUUAAGGGAACCAUACACCAACAAGACAUAACAAUCAUAAAUAUAUAUGCCCCAAACAAUGGUGCAGCUAUGUUCAUCAAACAAACUCUUCUCAAGUUCAAGAGUCUAAUAGACCACCAUACAAUAAUCAUGGGAGACUUCAACACACCUCUCUCGCCACUGGACAGAUCUUCCAAACAAAAGUUGAAUAAGGAAACUAUAGAACUCAAUAACACAAUUAAUAACCUAGACUUAAUUGACAUAUAUAGAAUAUACCACCCAACAUCAAGCAGUUACACUUUUUUCUCAGCAGCACAUGGAUCCUUCUCAAAAAUAGAUCAUAUAUUAUGUCACAGGGCAACUCUUAGACAAUAUAAAGGAGUAGAGAUAAUACCAUGCAUCCUAUCUGAUCAUAAUGGAAUGGAACUGAAAAUCAACGAUAAAAGAAGGAAGGAAAAAGCAUACAUCACUUGGAGAAUGAACAAUAGGUUACUGAAUGAUCAAUGGGUUAUAGAAGACAUCAAGGAGGAAAUUAAAAAAUUCUUAGAGAUUAAUGAAAACACAGACACAACAUAUCGGAAUCUAUGGGACACAUUGAAAGCAGUUCUAAGAGGAAAAUUCAUUGCUUGGAGUUCAUUCCUUAAAAAAAGAAAAAACCAACAAAUAAAUGAUCUCAUACUUCAUCUCAAAAUCCUAGAAAAAGAAGAGCAAAACAACAGCAAAAGAAGUAGAAGGCAAGAAAUAAUUAAAAUCAGAGCUGAAAUUAAUGAAAUCGAAACAAAAGAAACAAUUGAAAAAAUUGACAAAACUAAAAGUUGGUUCUU
rnacentral:lncRNA from 1 species